rnacentral:ncRNA from 1 species
CUUAUCCAGAACGGCAGAGGGGACGGCCCGAUGAAGCCUAGCAACCGAUCUGAGUCCGGUACGGACGUAGACACGGUGCUAAUUCCGUCGGCUGGCGAUAACGACGUCAGGCGAAAGAUAAGG